rnacentral:rRNA from 1 species
GACGAACGCUGGCGGCGUGCUUAACACAUGCAAGUCGAACGAAGAGCGACGGAAGCUUGCUUCUUUCAAUCUUAGUGGCGAACGGGUGAGUAACGCGUAAUCAACCUGCCCUUUAGAGGGGGACAACAGUUGGAAACGACUGCUAAUACCGCAUACGAUCUAAUCUCGGCAUCGAGGAGGGAUGAAAGGUGGCCUCUACAUGUAAGCUAUCACUGAAGGAGGGGAGUGCGUCUGAUUAGCUAGUUGGAGGGGUAACGGCCCACCAAGGCGAUGAUCAGUAGCCGGUCUGAGAGGAUGAACGGCCACAUUGGGACUGAGACACGGCCCAGACUCCUACGGGAGGCAGCAGUGGGGCAUCUUCCGCAAUGGACGAAAGUCUGGCGGAGCAACGCCGCGUGAGUGAUGACGGCCUUCGGGUUGUAAAGCUCUGUUAAUCGGGACGAAAGGCCUUCUUGCGAAUAGUGAGAAGGAUUGACGGUACCGGAAUAGAAAGCAACGGCUAACUACGUG